rnacentral:rRNA from 1 species
UACGAAGGGGACUAGCGUUGCUCGGAAUCACUGGGCGUAAAGGGUGCGUAGGCGGGUCUUUAAGUCAGGGGUGAAAUCCUGGAGCUCAACUCCAGAACUGCCUUUGAUACUGAAGAUCUUGAGUUCGGGAGAGGUGAGUGGAACUGCGAGUGUAGAGGUGAAAUUCGUAGAUAUUCGCAAGAACACCAGUGGCGAAGGCGGCUCACUGGCCCGAUACUGACGCUGAGGCACGAAAGCGUGGGGAGCAACAGG